rnacentral:rRNA from 1 species
AGGAAGGUGAGGAUGAUGUCAAGUCAGCAUGACCUUUAUAUCCAGGGCUACACACACGCUACAAUGGUCUGUACAAUGGGUAGCCAAGCCGCGAGGCGGAGCCAAUCCUGAAAGCAAGGCCUCAGUUCAGAUUGCAGUCUGCAACUCGACUGCAUGAAGCCGGAGUUGCUAGUAACCGCAGGUCAGCAAUACUGCGGUGAAUACGUUCCCGGGUCUU